rnacentral:lncRNA from 1 species
UGGAGACAGAUUCGCUGGCUGAUAUUGCGAUCCACAGAAUCGCAGGUGCCCAGAAAUGCGAAUCCCGUGUAGAAUCUCACGGGCUUCAAGCGCAGAAGUUAUUGAAAAUGGAUGCGCAGUCUCGUUCUGAGGCACGAGAGGCGCAUUGACAGAAACUUCUUCGAAAGACCCCUCGUCAGUAUCACAGAGGGGCAACAUCCUGAUCUCACCACCCGGCAGAGCUUCACAGUGUGCGUAGACGGUGUGGUUCUCAACUCCCUCGUAAAAUGGGAGGUUUAUAUGGUCUCCAUCCUUGUCCAUUUCCAUAGGAGGAGGAGGAGUGUUCGAUCUAUCAUCGCGGCUUCGGCUCGGGCCGCGUUCAACUGGUAUGUCCUGAGUGUAGUCAAAGGGCUCAG